UACGUAGGGUGCGAGCGUUGUCCGGAAUUAUUGGGCGUAAAGAGCUCGUAGGCGGUCUGUCGCGUCGGUCGUGAAAACUUGGGGCUUAACCCUGAGCUUGCGGUCGAUACGGGCAUGACUGGAGUUCGGCAGGGGAGACUGGAAUUCCUGGUGUAGCGGUGAAAUGCGCAGAUAUCAGGAGGAACACCGAUGGCGAAGGCAGCUCGCUGGGACGGUACUGACGCUGAGGCGCGAAAGCGUGGGGAGCAAACAGG
rnacentral:rRNA from 1 species